UACGGAGGGGGUUAGCGUUGUUCGGAAUUACUGGGCGUAAAGCGCACGUAGGCGGAUUGUUUAGUGAGGGGUGAAAUCCCAGGGCUCAACCCUGGAACUGCCUCUCAUACUGGCAGUCUCGAGUCCGGAAGAGGUGAGUGGAAUUCCGAGUGUAGAGGUGAAAUUCGUAGAUAUUCGGAGGAACACCAGUGGCGAAGGCGGCUCACUGGUCCGGUACUGACGCUGAGGUGCGAAAGCGUGGGGAGCAAACAGG
rnacentral:misc_RNA from 1 species